rnacentral:rRNA from 1 species
ACGUUAGCGGCGGACGGGUGAGUAACACGUGGGUAACCUACCUAUAAGACUGGAUGACUUCGGGAAACCGGAGCUAAUACCGGAUAAUAUUUCGAACCGCAUGGUUCGAUAGUGAAAGAUGGUUUUGCUAUCACUUAUAGAUGGACCCGCGCCGUAUUAGCUAGUUGGUAAGGUAACGGCUUACCAAGGCGACGAUACGUAGCCGACCUGAGAGGGUGAUCGGCCACACUGGAACUGAGACACGGUCCAGACUCCUACGGGAGGCAGCAGCC